UAGAUUCUGCGAUGUGCGAAAUAAAAACUUCAUUUAAUUCAACCGACAGAAAAGAUCCGGGAGGCCGUCGUCUUAAUAAGGAUAAAAUGCCCUGCGGGGACUUUAGAGAUAUUAGGCAGGCCACCCACCUAACAACUAGGGCGGGUCUGAAUUAAUGGAGCAUACGGCAUUGCGGAAUUUUU
rnacentral:other from 3 species